AGGAGGUACUCGUUUGGCCGUUGGGCUACUUUUGUUCUGUGAGAAUAUAUAAGCUUCACCUGGAAAAGCCAGGCAGGGUUGUACGCAGUUAUGUUAUGUCUGCGGCUAUGGCUGUCUCAUCCAGAAUACUCCAGGAAAACAGGAAAGGUAUUCAAAUCAAUCUACAGACAGAACAAACACUGAUUCAGCUUUAUCUUGUUGGCUAGCAAAACUACUGAUGAAUGUGGGUGAAGGUCAGAUAGAAUUUUUUUUAAAAAAAAAAGAGCAGUAUCAUCCUCAGGGGGAGCUAUGAGGGGUCUGGAAGCAGGAGGCCAGUAAAGAUACAAUCAAGUAUCUGACAAUACAACCAAGUACUAGUAAUUGGCAGCGGGCACGAAAGGACAACCUGAAACAGAUCCAGGAACGUUUCUGAGGAAUCGCUGCAAAUGAGAAUUCAGAUAGAGGGAAGACCAUAACACAGAAGAAAGAAACAUCUCAGACGUUUAGAAAGUUAAAACGUGUCCUCAGUAUACAGAUUCAAGACCAGUUGGCCUGACAUUACUUCUCUUCUAGCAAAUGGUAGUAUUGGAUAUCUGCAGGGAGAGGAGAGAGGCUGCGCGGAAAGAUGGAGAAUCAUUCUGAGUAACCCUCCAAGAGCGUUCUCCAAGACCAGGCACUUACCACGGAUAUUCUCAGUGCACGGCCAAAUCCAGGCAUCAAGGAGAAUGGAGAUUUCUAAAGUCACAGAGACCUCCAUGACGGCCAGCCGUGGACGUGUGGGCGCGACGGCUGCUGUGCACCGCGCAGCCGUCCUGGAGUCCCUCCUGCAGAGGUCCUUGGAAAUGCAGCGAAAGACUUGAAGGUGAAGCGCCUUACCCCUCGUCACUUGCAACUUGCUGUUCGUGGAGAUGAAGAACUGGACUCUCUCCUCAAGGCUACAAUUGGUGGUGGCGUCAUUCCGCACAUCCACAAAUCUCUGAUUGGGAAGAAAGGACAACGGAAGACUGUCCACAGGAUGCCUGGGUUCCUCGUUAUCGCAGGACUCUAAACACUCUAACAGCGGCCCAGUGCUGGUGACUCCAGAGGACUGUCUCUCUGUGAAAAGCACAACUUCUGUCUUUUUAUAAUUCUAUUUGAGCAAGUUGGAAGUUUAAUUAGCCUUCCAACCAACCAAAUUUCUGCAUUGGAAUCUUAACCAUAUUUAAGUGCUGCUGUGGCUUCAAAGAAGCUAUUGAUUCUGAAGUAGUGGUUUUGAUUGAGUUGACUGUUUUAAAAAAACUGUUUGGAUUUUAAUUGUGAUGCAGAAGUUAUAGUAACAAACAUUUGGUUUUGUACAGACAUUAUUUCCACUCUGGUGGAUAAGCUCAAUAAAGGUCAUAUCC